UCAUAGAGAGGUGUGGGAAAGAAUAGUGCCUUUCUGCUCCCUUUCUUCUAGCUUGAAACCGAGUCCUGGGAGGACAGGACGGCUGCCACACUAACCACCCCAUUGGGAAUGCUGGAGUAAGACCAUUGAACCUCCGCAAGUUCCAGCAGCAAUUCGUCCCGGCCCCCACCUCACCAGCCUGCCGUGCGCAUCUCCUUUGGGCUUCCAUCACUCCAGAUUCCCUGACUGCCUUAUCACCCCACUGCCUCAAGAUACCAUCCCUGCGCUCACCUGCUUCGUUCCACUCCUCUGGUGCCCGGCCUCAUACUCCACCUUUGGCUGUCCUGAAUACUCUCCUCUCAAGGAAACUUGACUUCAAAGUGGACAAAGUUCCCCUCACACCUAGAGGGAGGCGGUGGGAUGCACCACACUGUAGCUGCAAUAAAUGCCACUGAGUUGUA